rnacentral:rRNA from 1 species
CGGACGGGUGAGUAACGCGUGGAAAACCUGCCGUAUACUGGGGGAUAACACUUAGGAAAUAGGUGCUAAUACCGCAUAAGCGCACAGCUUCGCAUGAAGUGGUGUGAAAAACUCUGGUGGUAUACGAUGGUUCCGCGUCUGAUUAGCUUGUUGGUGGGGUAAUGGCUCACCAAGGCGACGAUCAGUAGCCGGCCUGAGAGGGUGAACGGCCACAUUGGGACUGAGACACGGCCCAAACUCCUACGGAAGGCAGCAG